rnacentral:rRNA from 1 species
UAGAUACCCCACUAUGCCCAGCCGUAAACUUUAAAUUACACCCACAUCGCCAGGGAACUACGAGCAAAGCUUAAAACCCAAAGGACUUGACGGUACCCCACAUCCACCUAGAGGAGCCUGUCCUGUAAUCGAUAAUCCACGCUUAACCUCACCAUUUUUAGCCCAUCAGCCUGUAUACCUCCGUCGUCAGCUUACCUCGUGAGCGAUUUUUAGUGAGCUUAAUGUCCACACGCCAAUACGUCAGGUCAAGGUGCAGUAAAUAAAAUGGGAAGAGAUGGGCUACACUCUCUAACAUAGAAUAUACGAAAGACUACAUAUGAAAUCUAGUCAGAAGGCGGAUUUAGUAGUAAAAAGAGAUCAUAAAGCUCUUUUUAACAUGGCACUGGGGUGUGUACACACCGCCCGUCACCCUCUUCAAAGCUAAGAGAUAGUAUUUAACAUAACAUAGCAAACCAGAAGAGGCAAGUCGUAAA